CUCACUAUCCUUUAUGAAAACUCCUCAAAUUGUCUUCUAAGUGUUUGCAAUUUAAUGAAUUGAACCUUGGCAACCCCCUUCUAGACCAUUUGUAGUGCAUUCCAUACAUCUUGUGACUUUGCUGCAGCUGUUAUUCGUGAAAAUAUGUUGUCGUCAACAGCUUGUUGAAUAAAAAUUAGAGCUUUGGCAUCUUUUUUCUUAGAUUCUUUAAGAGUUUUAACUGAAAUACCUACU
rnacentral:lncRNA from 1 species